rnacentral:other from 4 species
GCAGCAAGAGCCAGAACGGCUUGAUUCCUUCGUGGAAUCAAUUGGCAUAUUGUUGCGAUGUUGUGUUUGCAAACUCGUAUUUCGAGUUAGGUAGGUUUCUACCAAGUUUCGCCUCUCUAACUAGAGACGAAACACAUACUUCCUGUAUUUAUUUUGACCUGUCUGUCAAAUUAUUUAGCACCGCCUUAUGGCGGUGUUUUUUUAU